GAUUAACGCUAGCGGCAGGCAUAAUACAUGCAAGUUGAACGGCAGCACAGGUAGCAAUACUGGGUGGCGAGUGGCGCACGGGUGCGUAACACGUAUGCAACCUACCCUAUACAGGCGAAUAACCUUUAGAAAUGAGGGCUAAUACGCCGUAGUAUUACAGAUGGGCAUCUAUUUGUAAUUAAAGAUUUAUCGGUAUAGGAUGGGCAUGCGUCCCAUUAGUUAGUUGGUAAGGUAACGGCUUACCAAGACGAUGAUGGGUAGGGGAUCUGAGAGGACUUACCCCCACACUGGUACUGAGACACGGACCAGACUCCUACGGGAGGCAGCAGUAAGGAAUAUUGGGCAAUGGGCGCGAGGCUGACCCAGCCAUGCCGCGUGCAGGAAGACGGCCUUAUGGGUUGUAAACUGCUUUUAUACGGGAAUAAUAGAGUGUACGCGUACAUUUAUGCAAGUAUCGUAUGAAUAAGCAUCGGCUAACUCCGUG
rnacentral:rRNA from 1 species